rnacentral:tRNA from 1 species
GGGGGUAGAGCUCAGUGGUAGAGCAUGUGCUAAACACGAGGUCCGGGUUCAAUCCCCAGUACCUCCA